AUUGGGUACCCGAAGGCGAUGGGAGGACGGACGGCAGAGCCGUUGACGAGGCUGAGGGCGAGGGUGUCAAAAACGAGGACUCCCGCAGAGGAGCCGUGGUCCGCGUACUGUACUUCGUAGUCGCACUGAUUCGGGGUCUGGCACUCGUGCUUCUGAUGGGUGGAGGCGUGAACCGCGUAGCAGAGCGCGUUCUCGCAGGGGAUCAGCCUCUUCGGUUUGUACAGUGGGGAGCGUCGCAUUGGAGCCAGGUGAUGUCGCUGCCGGUGUCGACGUGCAUGAAAUAGGGCUUCGGCGGAUUCCCGAUGUUCAUCGUCGCGUAGAAUACCCUGCGAGAUUUGAUCGAAUCAGAGACCAUGAGUCCGAUUCCCAAUCCCUAAUGCAGUAAUUCGAAGGGGGAAAAAAAAAAUCCCAAAUCUCGAGCUUUUUAAUAUACUAUCCAGCUUACUCAUUGGGAUAGACGUCGCCGGAGAGGGGGAAGACGGCGGAGGAUGGCGCCCGGCGGCUGGUAUCGGCAGACGGCGGCGAAGCCGACGCCCUCGGCUUCUUCGGCAGGGUGUUCGUAGCGGCGGCGGAGCAGGACGGGAUCGCGGCGAGGACGGCAGCCACGACUAGAAGAGCGACCAGAAGCGCCGCUCCUUUUCCUCUCAUUCUCACCGGGCGAGGCAGAGAACGAAAGAAGAGCGAGAAGGAGCUGUUCUCUUCUUAUAAGCGGCCGCGGCGGCACUCGAUGGAGUCCCGUUCUUCGCCGGCGGGGACGGAGGCGAGCGACGACCUUUCUUACAGCCCGGUCUCCGGGGGGCAGGGUGAAGACCUAAUUGGCUUAGAUUCCAGAGCCCUCGAAGAACUGCAGAAUCUUCAUGUUGAAGCACUAGCGAAAAUAUGCCAAGAAAAGUUAACAAACCUGGCUCAGUAGUACGUGAAGUUCCAUGGCACUGAUUCUUUUGUUAGUCUCCCCGAGGUUUGUAUCUAUAUUGAAUUUAUUCUUCGAUAUACUCCAUGCAUAUGAAGUAGGGGUGUUAAACAUUAUAUGUGUAUGCAUUUGGACAUUUAGGGGGAAAAAAUGGAUAAUAAAAUCUGUCCAAAAAUUGUGAUUGAUCAUUAAAUUCAUAUUUGGGAAGUCUGUUGAUUUCAUGUGCACCGUGACAUUCAUAUUCUAAUGCUAAAUGAUAUUAUCACCGCUAUGUUUCUGAUGUAUAGACUCUGAAAAAAGAUGUACAAAUAAACUGGGAGUACUAGAAUUGCCUUUUGUUUAAUGAUUUAAAGAAAAAUCAAGCAGGAAAUCCUAGAUUCUCGAAACAAAUUUCUUAGUUGUUUCAUUACAAUUUGUGCCAAAUUAUGUGAAGUGUUGCAAUCAACAUUGUUCUAAUUAUGUGAAUUGUUACAAUUUGUGCCAAAUUAUGUGAAAAUGAACCAUGUU